rnacentral:rRNA from 1 species
GACAGAGGGUGCAAACGUUGUUCGGAAUUACUGGGCGUAAAGCGCGUGUAGGCGGCUGCGUAAGUCGGGCGUGAAAUCCCACGGCUCAACCUGUGGAAGAGCACUCGAAACUGCGUAGCUAGAGUCCUGGAGAGGAAGGUGGAAUACUUGGUGUAGAGGUGAAAUUCGUAGAUAUUAGGAAGAACACCAGUGGCGAAGGCGGCUCACUGGUCCGGUACUGACGGCUGAGGUGCGAAAGCGUGGGGAGCAAACAGGG